rnacentral:rRNA from 1 species
GGUCGGGAACUCAAAGGAGACUGCCAGUGAUAAACUGGAGGAAGGUGGGGAUGACGUCAAGUCAUCAUGGCCCUUACGACCAGGGCUACACACGUGCUACAAUGGCGCAUACAAAGAGAAGCGACCUCGCGAGAGCAAGCGGACCUCAUAAAGUGCGUCGUAGUCCGGAUUGGAGUCUGCAACUCGACUCCAUGAAGUCGGAAUCGCUAGUAAUCGUGGAUCAGAAUGCCACGGUGAAUACGUUCCCGGGCCUUGUACACACCGCCCGUCACACCAUGGGAGUGGGUUGCAAAAGAAGUAGGUAGCUUAACCUUCGGGAGGGCGCUUACCACUUUGUGAUUCAUGACUGGGGUGAAGUCGUAACAA